CCUGCAGUGUUGCCUCCAGAGGAGCACUGUGAGAACAAACUUUAAGCAGCUAUAAAAUGCUUUGAAGACACUAUGGUGGAGAACAGUUGAAAUUUGACACUGGACUGAUUGCAAAUGUAUUUCUAAUGGAUUUUCCCCAGAGAUAUUUCAUCAGAAUCUGGUCUCUUUAGCCUGACUGGAGCCAUGGAAUAGACCUACACAUACUGUUGUAGAGCUUGGUGCUGGAUUAUAAUUUCGUGUCUUGUACUGAUGAUACAUCCUUUUGCCACCCACGUUUGUAACAAAUUCAGCAGCCACUUACAGGAGCCUGACAGACUUCUUCCUUUUCAAGCUACACCAGGUGUGUUCUUGUGGCAAGUUUUUUGGCAAAGAUAUUCCUAAGAGUUUGGGUAAAGCUCCCCAGUUGUCUUGAGGCCAUAUGAAGCAACGAUCUUUGAAGAGAUGAGAAGAAAGACCAAAGUCAAGGUCUGCUCUCCACAGCUAUUGUGAUGCAGCACCCCCUGCACUGGUGAGUAGGUGAUACCUCUUGUCUCUUCCGUUCUGGCUUCUCUCCAUCCCCCUGACCCUCUGGCAGUGCAUCAGAGCUCAGCUUCAGGCUCCAGUACGUCUCAUCUCCUCUUGUAUCAGGUGUCUUCUUAUGUCAUCCUCUCCCUCCAGCUCACAGCUCUACCUGCCUUGAUGUUUCUUUGAUGUGUCCAGCUUAAUCUCAUACCAGAC
rnacentral:lncRNA from 1 species